AGCAGUAGCCACGGUAAUACAGAGGGUGCGAGCGUUAAUCGGAUUUACUGGGCGUAAAGCGUGCGUAGGCGGCUUUUUAAGUCGGAUGUGAAAUCCCUGAGCUUAACUUAGGAAUUGCAUUCGAUACUGGGAAGCUAGAGUAUGGGAGAGGAUGGUAGAAUUCCAGGUGUAGCGGUGAAAUGCGUAGAGAUCUGGAGGAAUACCGAUGGCGAAGGCAGCCAUCUGGCCUAAUACUGACGCUGAGGUACGAAAGCAUGGGGAGCAAACAGGAUUAGAUACCCCUGUAGUCCCUGUCUCUUAUAU
rnacentral:rRNA from 1 species